AUCUUCUCUUUGAUAUCUAAAGAUGGAGCCAUAGUGUUCUGAGAUCUUGAAAUGGACUUUUGCAGAGGGCUAGUGUCUGAACUGCUCUAAUUUACCAACAUCUUUCCUGAAUUGUGGGCACCAGUAAUGGGCAUGAUCUUCUGGCAGGGGUUGCACCAGUACCAAAUACAGAGGGAUUCACUUUGCAUCAGUCUGAGAAGUUUCACAAGGUUCAAGGAUGCAAGAUUGUCCAUAACCUUACUUCUUAUGGUUGGACUGAAAACUCUUCAAAAUACUAUAAAAUAAAUUUUGUUUGCUGUUGAAAAAUGAAUACUGCUGCAUAGGUGGAAAAGUAGCUCUUGAGUAGUGUUGAUAGAAUGUGAGGUCAGCACUCUGAGCAAAUUACGUUAUAAACUUAGGGGAGAAAAAAAACCUUCUUACAGUUGUAUAAUGUUGAAAGAGUUAGAUAUAAAUGUAAAGUAAUGCUUCCAGCUGGAAGACAAUGUGUAUGACACAAAUGUAUUUCAUGAAUUAAAUAAAGAGAGGUGAACUAUCAUCCCAUGGAGAUAUUUUAUUUAUAUGCCUCCUUUCUUUCAAGGACUUCAUAAACCCUGAAA